rnacentral:rRNA from 1 species
ACCAGUAGCCACAUUGCCCAGCAACUCCCAGCUGGCUGCCCACUGGAACUCAGCAGGUGGGAGCCUGGCCAGUACCUGGAUGGGAGGCCUCCUGGGAAAAACUAAGGUUGCUGCUGGAG